GAGGAUAUAGCUCAAGUGGUAGAGUGCAUGCUUAGUAUGAAUAAGAUCCUGGGUUCAAUCCCCAGUACCUUCU
rnacentral:tRNA from 1 species